UACGGGGGGGGCAAGCGUUGUUCGGAAUUACUGGGCGUAAAGGGCUCGUAGGCGGCCAACUAAGUCAGACGUGAAAUCCCUCGGCUUAACCGGGGAACUGCGUCUGAUACUGGAUGGCUUGAGUUUGGGAGAGGGAUGCGGAAUUCCAGGUGUAGCGGUGAAAUGCGUAGAUAUCGGAAGGAACGCCGGUGGCGAAAGCGAUCGACUGGACCUCUUCUGACGCUGAGGCGCGAAAGCCAGGGGAGCAAACGGG
rnacentral:rRNA from 1 species